UGUUUGCACUUAGCGGGAAGGGUAAGAACCUUCGACUAAGGUUCGACUCGAGCGCCAGCGAGAGAACGUUGCCGCAGGCAACGG
rnacentral:sRNA from 1 species